rnacentral:misc_RNA from 1 species
UCUCCGUAGGUGAACCUGCUGAGGGAUCAUUACUGAGUGAGGGCUUCGGUCCGACCUCCCACCCUUUGUGAAUCGUACUCGUUGCUUCGUGGGCGACCCUGCCGUCCGCGGCUGAGCGCCCCCGGGGUCAAUCAAACACUGCAUUCUCUGCGUCGGAGUAUUAGUAAAUCUAAUCAAAACUUUCAACAACGGAUCUCUAGGUUCUGGCAUCGAUGAAGAACGCAGC